CCAAUAGCGUAUAUUAAAGUUGUUGCAGUUAAAAAGCUCGUAGUUGAAUUUCGGGAUCAAUAUGUCGGUCGUGCCUCGGUACGUACUGGCAUCAUUGGUUUCUCCUUUCUGAUGAACCAUGAUGCCAUUAAUUUGGUGUUAUGGGGAAUCAGGACUGUUACCUUGAAAAAAUUAGAGUGUUUAAAGCAGGCUCACGCUUGAAUACAUUAGCAUGGAAUAAUGAAAUAGGACGUUUGAUUCUAUUUUGUUGGUUUCUAGGAUCGACGUAAUGAUUAAUAGGGAUAGUUGGGGGCAUUAGUAUUCAAUUGUCAGAGGUGAAAUUCCUGGAUUUAUUGAAGACUAACUACUGCGAAAGCAUUUGCCAAGGAUGUUUUCAUUAAUCAAGAACGAAAGUUAGGGGAUCGAAGACGAUCAGAUACCGUCGUAGUCUUAACCAUAAACUAUGCCGACUAGGGAUCGGAUGAUGUUAAUUUUUUAAUGACUCAUUCGGCGCCUUACG
rnacentral:rRNA from 1 species